GAUUAUGAUAUUGCAGGGAAAGAUUGAUAUUGUGGAUAUGAGUCAAAACACUGUGUAUGAAAUGGUUUUACAAACAAUAGCAACACUCAUCAUCCAACUACAAGAUGUCCCACAAGGAGUUUUCCAAGCAAGCGUUGUAUUUGCUGCCAUUCUUUUGGAUUCUCAAAUUGCAAGUCAAACU